GAUGAACGCUGGCGGCGUGCCUAAUACAUGCAAGUCGAGCGAACAGACCAGGAGCUUGCUCCUCUGACUUUAUCGGCGGACGGGUGAGUAACACGUGGAUAACCUACCUAUAAGACUGGGAUAACUUCGGGAAACCGUAGCUAAUACCGGAUAAUAUAUUGAACCUCAUUGUUCACUAGUUAAAGUCGGUUUUUCUGUCACUUAUAGAUUGAUCCGGGCCGCAUUAGCUAGUUGGUAAGGUAACGGCUUACCAAGGCAACGAUGCGUAGCCGACCUGAAGGGGUGGACCGACAGACUGGAAGAGAGAAAGGGCCGAGACACCGACGGGAAGAAACAGUACGGAAUCUUACGGGAUGGGGGAGAGGGUGAUGUAGGAAAGUGGCGGGAGGGAUGAAGGAGUUAGGAUGCGUAAACGAUGUAAGUAGGAGAGUAGUAAUGUGUAAGUAACUAGGAAGGUAAUGACAGUACCGGAUGAAAAAGCUACGGCUAACUCCGUG
rnacentral:rRNA from 1 species